UACGUAGGGUGCAAGCGUUGUCCGGAAUUAUUGGGCGUAAAGAGCUCGUAGGCGGUCUGUUGCGUCGGCUGUGAAAACCCGGGGCUCAACUCCGGGCCUGCAGCCGAUACGGGCAGACUAGAGUACUGCAGGGGAGACUGGAAUUCCUGGUGUAGCGGUGGAAUGCGCAGAUAUCAGGAGGAACACCGGUGGCGAAGGCGGGUCUCUGGGCAGUAACUGACGCUGAGGAGCGAAAGCGUGGGGAGCGAACAGG
rnacentral:rRNA from 1 species